GCAAUAUUAAACCUGUACCGUCUCCUCUUAGGGCUUCUAACAAUUUCAAUCAUGUCAAUAUUAAGCCCAAGUCAAAAUAAAUUAAACCUGGACGCCAAUGCUGCAUAAAUAAUCCUACCCACCGCGAUUGUGUACUAGGUAGAAAAACUAAAUUAUAGGGUUAUCCUGCUAUAAUUACAAACCUUAACUACUUAAUGUCAUAAAUCAACAAAACAAAAUAAAAACACCUAAAUUUAAAACUACAUUAUAAAUAUAAAAAGUACCGCGAGGGAAAACUAAACUAAAUAAAGAAAUGAUUAAAUCAUGUACCUUGUGCAUAAUGGUUUUACAAGAAAAAAGGCCACCCCCUAAAACCCGAAACCUUAUGAGCUAUAAUAAUACUGUUAAGAACUUAUUACCUUCUGUAGCAAUAGAACUAAAAGAUAUUAUUAUAGGGGCUACAUACCUACCGCAUAAGGAAAUAGCUGGUUUCUCGAAAACAUUAUAUAUUAAUACAGAUAUUGCUAUAUCGUGUAACACUAUAAAGGACAAGCUCUAUAGUGAACACCAAUAAAAUUUAAGGUACUUAUCACAAUAGGCCUAAAACCAGCCAUCAUUACUACGUUACAGUUUUUGAUCCCCUAAAAUUUAAUAAAGCAUGGUUAAAAAAUCGAGAGUGUUAGAUCAAUUUACCAUCUACUUACAAAAUGUAAAAAUUAGUAUACGACACAUUGACAAAUAAAGUCUAAACCAACCCUAAAGAAGGAACUCGGCAAACUAGGUUCCGACUGUUUACCAAAAACAUUGCCACCUGUAAUUUUAAUAAGUGGUACAUCCUGCCCAGUGAUCUAUUAAACGGCCGCGGUAUCCUGACCGUGCAAAGGUAGCAUAAUCAUUUGCCUAUUAAUUGUAGGCUGGAAUGAAUGGACAAACGCGAACCUUACUGUCUCCUUUAGGUAAAUAAAAAUUUAUAUUUAAGUGAAGAAGCUUAAAUAAAUUCGCAGGACAAGAAGACCCUAUAGAGCUUUACCAUAAAACUUAUAGUAUAAGCUAACUGGUUCGGUUGGGGCGACCAAGGAAUACAAAACAUCCUUAACUAUUUAGACUUACCAGUCACUAUAAAAGAUCCUUUAUAAAGAUUGUAGAAUCAAGCUACCUUAGGGAUAACAGGCUAAUUCCUCUAGAGAGCCCUUAUUGACAGAGGAGGUUGGCACCUCGAUGUUGGCUUAGGAUUUCUUUGUGACGCAGCAGUCACAACCAGAUGGUU
rnacentral:rRNA from 1 species